rnacentral:rRNA from 1 species
CUACGUGCCAGCAGCCGCGGUAAUACGUAGGGGGCAAGCGUUAUCCGGAUUUACUGGGUGUAAAGGGAGCGUAGACGGAAUGGCAAGUCUGAAGUGAAAUACCCGGGCUCAACCUGGGAACUGCUUUGGAAACUGUUGUUCUAGAGUGUUGGAGAGGUAAGUGGAAUUCCUGGUGUAGCGGUGAAAUGCGUAGAUAUCAGGAAGAACACCGGUGGCGAAAGCGGCUCUCUGGCUUGUAACUGACGCUGAGGCUCGAAAGCGUGGGGAGCAAACAGGAUUAGAUACCCUGGUAGUCCACGCUGUAAACGAUGUCGAUUUGGGGGUUGAACUUUGAGUUUGGCGCCCGUAGCUAACGUGAUAAAUCGACCGCCUGGGGAGUACGGCCGCAAGGUUAAAACUCAAAUGAAUUGACGGGGGCCCGCACAAGCGGUGGAGCAUGUGGUUUAAUUCGAUGCAACGCGAAGAACCUUACCUACUCUUGACAUCCAGA